UAGGGUAUUGGCCUAACAUGGCUAUGACGGGUAACGGGGAAUUAGAGUUCGAUUCCGGAGAGGGAGCCUGAGAAAUAGCUACCACAUCUAAGGAAGGCAGCAGGCGCGUAAAUUACCCAAUUCUAAAGAAGAGAGGUAGUGACAAGAAAAAUAACAAUGCAAGGCCAAUUUUUUGGUUUUGUAUUUGGAAUGGGGGGGAAUUUAAAACCUUCCCAGAGUAACAAUUGGAGGGCAAGUCUGGUGCCAGCAGCCGCGGUAAUUCCAGCUCCAAUAGCGUAUAUUAAAAUUGUUGCAGUUAAAACGCUCGUAGUUGAAUUUCAAGGAAUCGAUAUUUUAUUGCAACUAUUUUAGGGGUUUUAUUUUUGCUUCUUGCUUAAAUUCUUCCCCUAUUAUUAUGUUCUUUAAAUAACAAAGAUUCUUUUUAAAACCCCUUUUUGCUUUUGCUUUUUGGGGUUUUGUUACUU
rnacentral:rRNA from 1 species